rnacentral:tRNA from 1 species
GAGGGUAUAGCUCAAGUGGUAGAGCACGUACUUGGCAUGCAUGAGGUCCUGGAUUCAAUCUCCAGUACCUCCU